UUUUCCAGUUUGAUUACAAUGUAGACCUGUGAUGUGUGAAUGAAUUCCAAUUUACCGACAGUGUUUCUUUGGAUCCUGCUAUUCAUAUUAUAUGGAUUUGUUCAGUUGUUCUAUGUUGAGCCAGGUGGUAUUUGUUGAGGUGAUGCAUACUCUUAAGCAUAAUGGCAGAACCAGUGGACAUAUCAUCGGAAGAUGAAAGCUGCCCUAUCUGCGACGAAUUUUAAAGAACGGAUCGCCCAUAGUUUUGAUACGUGAAAAGGGAGCAAAUAGCAUCAACAGAGCCAGUGCACAGAGAAAGUCGAAUGUAACAAGACUGUAGAAGGGAUUUUAUAGACUUGAGAAAUGUAAAAACUGAUAAUUAUAGUGGAUAUGCAUGUGACUCUUUGAUAACAAGAUGCAGUUGUACAAUUUUUGAUUUUAAAUCUAAUUGUUUCUUCUGCACUUGUAAACCGCCUCGGUAGCCUAGUGGUAGAGCGUCCGCUUCGCGUGCGGGAGGUCGUGGGUUCGAUCCCCGGCCGCGUCAUACUAAAGACAUAAAAAAUGGUACUAGUAGCUUCCUCGCUUGGCGCUCAGCAUUAAGGGGAUAGUGCUAGGACUGGUCAGCCCGGUGUCAGUAUAAUGUGACUGGGUGUGGUAUCAUGUCACGUGUCUACGGCGUGAUAUUCCAGUGAGGCAGCACUAUAAAGUUGGGCAAUGUGCUCACUGCUACAAGUAGACACCGUCGUUUAUAUGACUGAAAAAUUGUUGAAAAAGACGUUAAACCCGAACACA